UACAGAGGUCCCGAGCGUUGUUCGGAUUCACUGGGCGUAAAGGGUGCGUAGGUGGCGAGGAAAGUUUGAUGUGAAAUCUCCGGGCUUAACCCGGAAACUGCAUUGAAAACUACUUUGCUGGAGGAUUGGAGGGGGGACUGGAAUUCUCGGUGUAGCAGUGAAAUGCGUAGAUAUCGAGAGGAACACCAGUGGCGAAGGCGAGUCCCUGGACAAUACCUGACACUGAGGCACGAAAGCCGGGGGAGCAAACAGG
rnacentral:rRNA from 1 species